ACCUAGCUAACGAGUCCCAAAUAGGAAGAAAUACGCGUCCUGGAU
rfam:Schistosoma mattheei strain Denwood, Zambia genome assembly, scaffold: SMTD_scaffold0002179